GCCAUAGCACGUUGAAAUACCGGUUACCCUAUGACCAUCGAAGUUAAGCAACGUUGAGCCUGGUCAGUACCUAGAUGGGUGAAAGCUUUUGAAUACCAUAUGCUGUAA